rnacentral:rRNA from 1 species
AACGCGAAGAACCUUACCAAGACUUGACAUCGCAUGACCACCGUGGAAACACGGCCUUCCGUAGCAAUACGGACAUGUAGACAGGUGGUGCAUGGUUGUCGUCAGCUCGUGUCGUGAGAUGUUCGGUUAAGUCCGGCAACGAGCGCAACCCUUGUGAACAGUUGCCAAUAUUAAGUUAGGAACUCUGUUCAGACUGCCGUGGUUAACACGGAGGAAGGUGGGGAUGACGUCAAAUCAUCAUGCCCCUUACGUCUUGGGCUACACACGUGCUACAAUGGCUACAACAAAGAGCAGCAAGCCGGCAACGGUAAGCAAAUCUCAAAAAAGUAGUCUCAGUUCAGAUUGUGGGCUGCAACCCGCCCGCAUGAAGUCGGAGUUGCUAGUAAUCCCGAAUCAGAAUGUCGGGGUGAAUGCGUUCCCGGGUCUUGUACACACCG